GGAUGUGAGGAUAUCUGGCUGUGACAUUUGUUACCCCAUUGAUUGCCAGGGUGGAUUUGGCUGAUCUGGCUGGCUAGGUGGGUAUCCCCUUCCUCCCUCACUGCUCCAUGUACAUCCCUCCCAAAGCUUCAUGCUUGGUUGAAGAGCAUAACCCCUUCUCCAGUCCAGGAGGACUGUUUCCUCAGUCAAGGUUAUACACGUAGUUGUACUCCUCUGCUAAAACCUCCAAACAAGCUCCCUAGGUUUUUUAUUUUUUAACUUUUCAUUUUGGAACAAUUCCAGGCUUUAAAAAUGUUGUAAAAAAAACAUACAAAAAAUUCCCAUGUGUCCUUUCUCUUGU
rnacentral:snRNA from 1 species